UGUAGUUUUUUUGUCAUAGAUAUGACAGCUAUCUCUAGUAAAGCUAAUAGUUUUAUGGAUAGUAAUUAAAUUAAAAGACGGGAUUAGUUUAUCUUUUGGCUAUCCAAAGGGUUAAUUUUAUUUUUUGAAAGCUUCGGCUCUAAGCGAUUUACUCGCAUAAACUUCCAUACAAGAUACAGAUGAUGACUAUUUUUGUAUGACAGUCUUGGCCAAAACACGUGCCAGCAGCCGCGGCAACACGGGAUUAGACGAGUGUUAUUCAUCUUUAAUAGGUUUAAAGGGUACCUAGACGGCAGAUUCAGCCCCCACUGAGUUGGAACGGAACUUUUCUGCUAGAGUUUUAUGUGAGAGGGAUUUAGUACUAACAGAGUAGAGAUGAAAUUUUUUGAUACUGUAGGGCACUGAUAACGGCGAAGGCAGACCUUUAUGUAAAAACUGACGUUGAGGGACGAAGGCUUGGGUAACAAACAGGAUUAGGUACCCUAAUAGUCCAGGCAGAGACUGAUGAGUGCCAUAGAUUAGAAAAUAUUUGGUCUAUAAAUGAAAGUGAAAGCAUUCCACCUUAAGAGUAAUGCGGCAACGCAGGAACUGAAAUCAUUAGACCGUUUCUGAUACCAGUAGUGAAGUAUGUUGUUCAAUUCGAUGAUCCACGAAAAAUCUUACCACAAUUUGAAUAUUGUAGCAACUAUAGGAAAGUCUGCGUAGCAGAAUGCAAGUGCUAUUUAUACAGGUGUUGCAUGGCUGUUUUUAGUUGGUGUCGUGAGAUGUAGGUUAACUCCUAUGUAAUCAACGUGAACCCUUACUCUAUUUUAUUGAUAAGUGUAUACAUAGAGUCGAUGUCUGAUACGUCGGACAAACAGUAGGGAUCAAGACAAGUCCUCAUGGCCCG
rnacentral:rRNA from 1 species